rnacentral:tRNA from 1 species
CGCACUUGUAGCUCAACGAACACAGAGCACCAGCCUUGUAAGCUGGGGGUUGGGGGUUUAACUCCCCCCUCGGGCAC